GUUGUGGUGUUUGCAUAUGUGUGCUGUGUCAGUGCUGCACACACUUUAAGAGCUGUAGUGCUGAUCAGAGUGUGUUCAGUCCUUUCAGAGCCACUGACACGCAGCACAAUGAUGAUGGUACUGAUUCUACUGCUGGGGACACUGGGACUCCUCGCUCACCAGUCCUUUGGGGAAAUCGUCCUGACUCAGUCUCCAGGAGCUCAGUCUGUUUCUCCAGGACAAUCUGUUACUCUCACCUGUACAACCAGUCAGAGUGUAGGCACUGACCUCCACUGGUAUCUACAGAAGCCUGGUGAAGCUCCUAAACUCCUGAUCUAUAAUGAUGUUACACGUUACACUGGGGUUCCAGAUCGUUUCAGUGGCCAUAGAUCUGGUUCAGAUAAUAGAGGAUUUACUCUACAAAUCUCUGGAGUUCAGACUGAAGAUGCAGGAGAUUAUUACUGUCAGCAAAGUGAGAGCUGGCCGUACACACAGUGUUAUAGCGCCGUACAAAAACCUCCCUCAGCUGUAGAGGAAGUGCUUUGAGUCAGAAACACACAG